rnacentral:rRNA from 1 species
GAUGAACGCUAGCUACAGGCUUAACACAUGCAAGUCGAGGGCCCGGCGCACGGGUGAGUAACACGUAUCCCACCUGCCCUUUACUCGGGGAUUGCCUUUCGAAAGAAAGAUUAAUACCCGAUAUAAUGGAUGGGGAUGCGUUCCAUUAGGUGGUUGGUGAGGUAACGGCCCACGAAGCAUUCGAUGGAUAGGGGUUCUGAGAGGAAGGUCCCCCACAUUGGAACUGAGACACGGUCCAAACUCGUACGGGAGGCAGCAGUGAGGAAUAUUGGUCAAUGGGCGCUAGCCUGAACCAGCCAAGUAGCGGGAAGGAUGAAGGCUUAUGGGUCGUAAACUUCUUUUAUAUAAGAAUAUGUAUUAUAUGAAUAAGGAUCGGCUAACUACGUGCCAGCCGCCGCGGUAAUAC